rnacentral:lncRNA from 1 species
GGCUCCCAUGCCUCCAAAGCCUCCCAUACCCAUGGAUCUUUUUUUGGGCCAAGCCUUCAUCACGGUAAAGAUUGAUGAACUCCUUUUGCCUAUCAUCGAAGGUAGAUGUGUUCAUGAAGAACAAGUGUUUCUCCCAUUCCAAUUAUCUAGCUCGCCCCUCCAUGCCUGGUUUCUUCUCCUCCGAGGCCACCUUCCUCUCCUCGGCCGCCACCCU